rnacentral:snRNA from 1 species
GUGCUCGCUUCGGCAGCACAUAUACUAAAAUUGUAACGAUACAGAGAAGAUAGCAUGGCCCCUGCGCAAGGAUGACAUGCAAAUUCGUGAACCAUUCCAUAUUUGU